AGGAUUAACGCUGGCGGCGUGCCUAAUGCAUGCAAGUCGAACGCGCCGCUCUUUCGGGGGUGGUGGCGUGGCGGACGGGUGAGGAGCGCGUGGGCAACCUGCCCAGAGGUGGGGGGUAGCCCUCGGAAACGGGGGGUAAUUCCGCAUGGGGUCGCCGAGCUCGUGGGCUCGGUGAGCAAAGGGUCUUCGGACUCGCCUUUGGAGGGGCCUGCGUCCGAUUAGCUAGUUGGGGGGUAACGCCCACCAAGGCGGUGAUCGGUAGCUGGUCUGAGAGGACGGCCAGCCACACGGGGACUGAGACACGGCCCCGACUCCUACGGGAGGCAGCAGCAAGGAAUUUCCGCAAUGGGCGAAAGCCUGACGGAGCAACGCCGCGUGGCGGGAGGACGCCGUUUCGGGGUGUAAACCGUCUUUCGCGGGGACGACGACCGACGGUACCCGGAGGAACGAAGGCCCGGCUAACGUACGUGCCAGCAGCCGC
rnacentral:rRNA from 1 species